ACACCAGAUUGGCUCUGCCCACACCAUAUCAGCCUAGCUGUCUCCUCACUCCUCCACCAAGGAGGCUAGCAUUGAAAUUCCAUCCUACUGGCCCAGACACUACUGAACUUAAUUGUUUUGCCCUCAUAGCAAUUCGUAAUAAUAAUAUUCAAGAUAUCCCCUGCCUUACAGGUACCUAAGAUGCUGCUGUUUCUUGCUCCUGCCAAGUACCUGCUUUAUAUUACACUGUGGAUGCAAUUGUAGGUUUUGAAAGAAGCAAAAGACCAUCAAGUUCAAAGCUUUUGCCAUUGUGCAAAGAAAACCAUCUAUCAAAUUCAGCCCUGUCCCAAGCAACCUUUUCAAUGGAAGCAGAAGCAUAAUAGAAGCCAGACACAGCUGCUUCAGAUACAAAUGUGAUCCAAAGCCACAUGCUGCAAGCCAACCCAUUCAAUGUUUCCUUGAUAUGUCCAACUGGAAUGGUUUUAAGGGAGUCUAUUAGAAGACAAAGGCAUUUGUCUUUUAAAAGGAGGACAGCAUUGAAAGAGCAACAUAAUGGGAGAGGUGUUUCCAGCUACCCCACCCUUUGUUCUUGGGAGCCUUAUAAGAA